CCCUUAGAUGUCCUGGGCCGCACGCACGCUACACUGACAUGUUCAACAAGCCUCCUAGUUCGACAGGAUUUGGGAAAUCUUUGAACGCAUGUCGUGAUAGGGAUAGAUCAUUGCAAUUAUUGAUCUUGAACGAGGAAUUCCUAGUAAACGCGAGUCAUCAGCUCGCAUUGAUUACGUCCCUGCCCUUUGUACACACCGCCCGUCGCACCUACCGAUUGAAUGUUUCGGUGAAGAUUCCGGAUAGGACUUUUUUGAUUUAUUUCAAUUUUGUCUUAAAAGCUAUCUAAACCUCAACAUUUAGAGGAAGGUGAAGUCGUAACA
rnacentral:rRNA from 1 species